rnacentral:tRNA from 1 species
CCUUCGAUAGCUCAGAUGGUAGAGCGGUGGACUGUAGAUAGUGUAAGUUGAAUGUAGAAAUCCAUAAGUCGCUGGUUCAAAUCCGGCUCGAACGA